rnacentral:rRNA from 1 species
AUACGUAGGUGGCAAGCGUUGUCCGGAAUUACUGGGUGUAAAGGGCGUGUAGGCGGGUAAUGUAAGUCAGAUGUGAAAUUCCGAGGCUCAACCUCGGCGCUGCAUCUGAAACUAUAUUUCUUGAGUGCUGGAGAGGAAAGCGGAAUUCCUAGUGUAGCGGUGAAAUGCGUAGAUAUUAGGAGGAACACCAGUGGCGAAGGCGGCUUUCUGGACAGUAACUGACGCUGAGGCGCGAAAGCGUGGGGAGC